UGAUUUCGUAGCUCAGUUGGUUAGAGCAAUGCACCGGCAUCGCAGAGUUCAUGGGUUCGAAUCCCGUUGAGUCAC
rnacentral:tRNA from 1 species